rnacentral:rRNA from 1 species
CCUACGGGAGGCAGCAGUCGAGAAUCAUUCACAAUGGGGGAAACCCUGAUGGUGCGACGCCGCGUGGGGGAAUGAAGGUCUUCGGAUUGUAAACCCCUGUCAUGUGGGAGCAAAGUAAAAAGAUAGUACCACAAGAGGAAGAGACUGCUAACUCUGUGCCAGCAGCCGCGGUACUACAGAGGUCUCAAGCGGUGUUCGGAAUUACUGGGCGUAAAGGGUGCGUAGGCUGUUGCGUAAGUCGUGUGUGAAAGUCGCGGGCUCAAACCGCGGACGGCAUAUGAUACUGCGAGACUUGAGUAAUGCAGAGGGAGGCGGAAUUCGCGGUGUAGCAGUGAAAUGCGUAGAUAUCGAGAAGAACACUCGUUGCGAAGGCAGGUUCCUGGACAUUAACUGACGCUGAGGCACGAAGGCCAGGGGAGCGAAAGGGAUUAGAUACCCCAGUAGUC